ACACAGUUUACUUGCGUUGUCAGGUUACUGAUGUGCAUGUAAACGGGGAAAACUGGUUAUUUUAAUAAGCUGAUAUUUGUGAGUUAUCAGCUUACUGGUAUGCAUGUAAACGUGCUCAUUUACUGGCGUAAGAAGUGUGACAACUAUCCCCCAUUAUUAACAAAACGGCCAUUUUUAGUGUAGUACCGUGAGAGGGCGCAGUUGAGCUGGCAUCCAGAUGCGUAUAUGAACAUAAAAACACUGGUUAAAUAUUAUUGUCAAAUAUUCGUGUAUUAUCUACGUUCAUAAUAAUAAUAAUAAUAAUAAUAAUAAUAAUAAUAAUAAUAAUAAUAAACAUUUUUAUCUUAUGUUAAUUUUAUUUGUAAAUAAUUUUUACAUUGAUUUUUGCAUUUAAAGUUGUCUGUUAUGUUUAAAUAUGCAAAUGAUGCAUUAUCUAAUUAAAAAAACAAUAAUUUGCAUAUGUUUCCAGAACAGAAGUCUGAAAUGUACUUAAACCCAGGUUCCUUUUUUAAUUAAAAAAAUAAAUAAAAAUAAAAUAAAAAUGUUUAUAUAAAUCAGGAAAAUGAUAUAUGAACAAAUUUAUAUGUUAAAAAAACUUCUGUAUGUAAAUGCUGCUGAAGUGAUGUCUGGCUCAAUGCAUUAAUUUUUUUAUUUUAAUCGAAAUCUACAGACACUUUUAUGUGUAUUAAGCAAAACAUCACAAAAUCCCAAAACUGACCCAAAAGGUUUUUCUGUAGCGUCUUGCCUCAAAUGAAAAAAAAGUGUAUUUUCCUAAUAAGCCUUAACGUUAUUUAUGCACAUUUAAUGAAUACUAGAAAGCAAAAGCGUGAAUGAGGAGAAAAAGAAGAGAGGAGGGAGAAGAAAACAGAGUGGAUGAUGAUAGAGGAGAGGACGGGAAGCGGCGGAUGGAAGAAGGAGGGAAGGGGAGGAGAGCAGGCAGCGGAAGUCGGCGGGUCGCUGCUGGUUGGUUCGGCGCCGAUGGAGGGAGUCAUUCCUGCAGCAGUGCUUCCGGUCGGCAUUUUGUUCUGCGAGAGAGAGUGAGAGUCUGUGUGGAUUCUUUUAUGAGCGCCCAGGAGCCCCUCGGCACCGAAUCUUUUUCUGCCAUCGUUCGGAGUAAAGUGCGAGCUUCCGCGGACGCCUACGAGAGGAAUGACCGCCUCCAGUCCGUCUUCAUGUUCGCAGUGAGAGGAAGCGGUGCGACCCGGAUUAUUGUUGUGAGAGGGACACAGCGAGCCCGAACCCUCCACCUUCACCUUUCAACAACAGAGCCUCAGCGAAAGAUGUAAAGGUGGAUCAGUGAGCAGCGACCUGUGCAUCCACGCAAGCUCCCUGCCCUUCUUCAGCAUGAAUGGGGAUAUGCCUCAUGUUCCCAUCACCACUCUCGCUGGGAUCGCAAGCCUCACUGACCGUGAGUUUGUAUAACAAACCUCCCUUAACAAAUUUUUUAUACACAUUGUAUCUCUUCAACACAUUUAGAAAUGUAAAGUUAAUAAUUUAAAAUUGAUCAUUAUCAGAUAAUAGGAGUAC
rnacentral:lncRNA from 1 species